rnacentral:rRNA from 1 species
GACGAACCGUACGAACGUUAUUCGGAAUCACUGGGCUUAAAGGGUGCGUAGGCGGCGCGACAAGUUGGGUGUGAAAUCCCUCGGCUCAACCGAGGAACUGCGCCCAGAACUGUCGUGCUCGAGGGAGACAGAGGUGAGCGGAACUUAGGGUGGAGCGGUGAAAUGCGUUGAUAUCCUAAGGAACACCGGUGGCGAAAGCGGCUCACUGGGUCUCUUCUGACGCUGAGGCACGAAAGCUAGGGUAGCGAACGGG